AGGACGAACGCUUGCGACGUGCCUAAGAAAUGCAAGUCGAACGGGGUCAUCCUUCGGGGUGGCCUAGUGGCGAACGGUCGCGUAACACGUGGGCAACCUGCCCUGAAGCGGGGGACAACACACCGAAAGGUGUGCUAAUACCGCAUGUGAAUCGUGGUGGCAUCACCGAGGAUUCAAAGCCGCAAGGCACUUCAGGAUGGGCCCGCGGCCUAUCAGCUAGUUGGUGAGGUAACGGCCCACCAAGGCUUCGACGGGUAGCUGGUCUGAGAGGACGAUCAGCCGGAUUGGGACUGAGAUACGGCCCAGACUCCUACGGGGGCAGCAAUUAGGAAUCUUGCGCAAUGGGCGAAAGCCUGACGCAGCGACGUCGCGUGAAGGAUGAAAUCUUUCGGGAUGUAAACUUCGUUUUUCGGGAAGUAAACAAUGACGGUACCGAAGAAUAACGCCCGGACUAACUACGUGCCAGCAGCCGC
rnacentral:rRNA from 1 species